GACGAACGCUGGCGGCGUGCUUAACACAUGCAAGUCGAACGGUAAGGCCCUUCGGGGUACACGAGUGGCGAACGGGUGAGUAACACGUGGGUGAUAUGCCCUGCACUUCGGGAUAAGCCUGGGAAACUGGGUCUAAUACCGGAUAGGACAACUGCCUGCAUGGGUGGUGGGGGAAAGCUUUUGAGGUGUGGGAUGGGCCCGCGGCCUAUCAGCUUGUUGGUGGGGUGAUGGCCUACCAAGGCGACGACGGGUAGCCGGCCUGAGAGGGUGACCGGCCACACUGGGACUGAGAUACGGCCCAGACUCCUACGGGAGGCAGCAGUGGGGAAUAUUGCACAAUGGGCGCAAGCCUGAUGCAGCGACGCCGCGUGAGGGAUGACGGCCUUCGGGUUGUAAACCUCUUUCAGCACCGACGAAGCGCAAGUGACGGUAGGUGCAGAAGAAGGACCGGCCAACUACGUGCCAGCCGCCGCCGUAA
rnacentral:rRNA from 1 species